rnacentral:rRNA from 1 species
AUACGUAGGGGACGAGCGUUGUCCGGAAUUACUGGGCGUAAAGGGCGCGCAGGCGGAUAUUUAAGUCAGCUGUAAAAGGCAUGAGCUCAACUCAUGUAUGCGGUUGAAACUGGGUAUCUAGAGUGCUGGAGAGGUAGGCGGAAUUCCCGGUGUAGCGGUGAAAUGCGUAGAUAUCGGGAAGAACACCAGUGGCGAAGGCGGCUUACUGGCCAGCAACUGACGCUGAGGCGCGAAAGCCAGGGGAGCGAACGGGAUUAGAGACCCCGGUAGUCCUGGCCGUAAACGAUGAAUGCUAGGUGUGGGUGUCGAGAGGCAUCCGUGCCGGAGUUAACGCGUUAAGCAUUCCGCCUGGGGAGUACGAUCGCAAGAUUGAAACUCAAAGGAAUUGGCGGGG